CGCUUCCGCCGAUACGACACAACAUCCUGCAGCGAUGUUGUGCCAAGACCUGCAGUGUCGGUCGGCGGAAGCG
rfam:Thielavia terrestris NRRL 8126 chromosome 2, complete sequence.